GCCUGGGGAAAAUCCUAUGUCUCAGUCACUUAACCUGUAAAAAGUUAUGAGUAGGAAGCAGGCAACUCAGGACAUUUCCAGAAAGUGUUGUCAGCAACAAAACACAGUCACUGGGUAAUGUGAUGCUCUGCUGCAUCUGUUACUCAUGAACUAGGAAGAACUGAUUGGAAUGUGACUGUAGCUACUAUUAAGCAGUGCAUUUCAACAUCAUAAAUGGAGAGAGGAGGGCAAAUGGCAAGGUACAGACACCAGGCUUGAGGCAACAAGACUCCAACUUACUCAGGAAGGUGGUUGUUGGGAUCUUUUUGGAGGCAGCUUAAGAAAACCAGGACAACCUUUUUGGGCAACCAUCUUGCAAGCUCAGGAAUGGUCUACUCCAAUACUCAGAUUUCCAUGACUCAAAAAGAAAAACAACCAAGUGCUCCUAUACCCAGCUGGUGUAAAUACAGCACAGUUGAUCUAAUGUAACCAAACAGCUCAAGAUCCAACAACUGAUAACAAGAAUUGCUGUGGGAGUAUUUCAGAGUAAUGUAGAUGUCAGAGGCCAAUGCUGAGUCUGGAGCCAGCCCAAAUGCAAGGAACGAAGCCCUCAGUGUCUGUCCUGGCUUAUCUCACUUGUGCUGCAAUGUGACUGCUUGAAGCAGAUACAUUUAAGGACUAACUAUGUGAUCAAACACACGGCAGAAAUCACUCAUGCUUUGACCAUGUUUUACAUGCACACAAAGUAGUCAGAAGAAACUCAUCCAGCUGUGGCUGUCUCAGCAAUAAGGAAAAACAGAUAUAUGAGGGCUACUCCAAAAGUAAUCCUUCCUAUGUGGGCUUAUAGUGUCAGAAGCGGAUGUUGGUAGGGCAGUAGAGGCUGAACCUUCCUACCAAUA
rnacentral:lncRNA from 1 species